UACUGGCAGGAUCAACCAGGCCACAGUAAAGAACAAAUACCCUCUUCCACGGAUCGACGAGCUUUUCGACCAGCUUCAGGGUGCGCAGCACUUUUCGAAGAUUGAUCUAAGAUCGGGUUAUCACCAGCUCCGAGUCAGAGAGCAGGACAUACAGAAGACAGAGUUUCGGACACGCUACGGCCAUUACGAGUUUCUAGUCAUGCCGUUCGGGCUGACGAACGCACCAGCAGUAUUCAUGGCCCUGAUGAACAAGGUCUUCGCACCAUAUCUGGACUGUUUUACAGUAGUCUUCAUCGACGAUGUUUUGGUUUACUCGAAUCCAAGGAGGAGCACGAGCAGCACCUGAGGACAUCACUACAGAUAUUACGCGACAAUCAGUUGUACGCGAAGCUCAGCA
rnacentral:misc_RNA from 1 species